UACGGAGGGUGCAAGCGUUAUCCGGAUUCACUGGGUUUAAAGGGUGCGUAGGUGGGCAAGUAAGUCAGUGGUGAAAUCUCCGGGCUUAACCCGGAAACUGCCAUUGAUACUAUUUGUCUUGAAUACUGUGGAGGUCAGCGGAAUAUGUCAUGUAGCGGUGAAAUGCUUAGAUAUGACAUAGAACACCAAUUGCGAAGGCAGCGGGCUACACAAAUAUUGACACUGAGGCACGAAAGCGUGGGGAUCAAACAGG
rnacentral:rRNA from 1 species